rnacentral:lncRNA from 1 species
CAAAACUGGGUUUAACCCUAUAUCUUCUUUCUCUCUCAAUUUCUCUUCUCAUCUCAUACUCUUCCUCAGGGAGCUUAUCAAGCCUGUUGCUGCGAUAGUUGAGGAAUCAAAGAGGAAGAGAUUUGCUGCAACUGAUGAGUCUGACCGAGUUGCUGAAUCUGUGAUUGGUGAUCCAACGGAUGAAGAGAGAGAGAGAGAGAGAGAGAGAGAGAGAGAGAGAGAGGAGAAGGAGACGGGAUUGGAGCUCCAAUGGCUGUGAUGUUGGGUUGCGAUUUGCGAAUUACCACUACUGUUCUGAAUUACACCUUCUGCCGUCGCUACCACCGUAGACGCUGCCAAAAUUGAAAUCGGAGCUGUGGUGUGUUGCUGUUGCGGUGACGACGGUGGAGUUGCAAGGGAAGGUUCCACUGGUUUAGGAGAUUGGAGAGGUUUCGGUGACAAAAGACGAUGAAGGGAUAGUGAUAACUGAUAAGCUUUGCUUUUUCUGUCAAUUUCUCCAUUUUUGUCACUAAACCGAGCUUAUCAGAUAGCUUCCGACAACGUGUGUUUGUUUGGUUCGUCGAUUUCCGCUCAUGAAUCGAAAAUUUCCCAGACUGUGAUUGGCUGUCCUGUUUUGUUACCUUGUCUUUUUCAGAAAUAAAUUUUACUGUGGAAUUUCUACUUUUUGUGAACAAAACUGUACAUAUGUAUGCUGCUUGUAACUGAAGAAAGAGGGUUUCAAGUCUUUUUUCAUUACUGCUUUAAGUUUGUAAUUGUCUUCCAAAUCAAAUGUCACAGGGAGGCGCGGGAAGGUUUUGAAGUUACCAAGUAGGCAAGGUCUGAGUGUUGCUCCGUCACCUGAAAUGACCAACGAUCAAAAGUGAUAGAGACACCAUUAUCAGCACAAUUUUGGUGAACAGACAUUAAUUAGGUUCUUGUCAAUAUUUGGAACAUAGAGCACAUUGUUUAGUUUAUCUGAACGAGAAGGGAUUGUAGAACCAGUGUGUGUUAUGGCAUGACCAGAGCCAUCACCGAGAACAACUGUUUCAUUCCCUUGAUAUGGAGAUUGUAGAUGGUGUUUCAUUAGCUGUGUAAUGCGGAGCUAAUAGGGCAGUGUGAUGAGCUUUAGGUUGCCAUGACAUCUGUUGCUGAGAGUAGAAGUCAUCUGAACUCUCUCGUCCGAAGCUCGGUGGCAGAGAGAGACCUUACCCUAGACGGUGUCGCACUGGUCGCCAGCCAACUGAUACCGGUCCAAUUCAUAACAACAUUCUUAAAAACAAUAUCUCUAAUAGUAUAUGUUUUGGGUGUUAUGAAAUCAAGCGGAUCCUGAACUUUUGAGACGAUAAAACAAGUCAGUAACGAUUUUUUUUUUUUUUUUUUAAAUUAAAAAAAAUAGAGAGAUUCUUUUUUAUAAAUUGACUCCAAAUUUUUUGAAGUUCUAGAACCAAUGUUUCAUUUGGUCAUGUCCAUGAUUGGUUUUGUGAAAAAAUGUAUCUGAUGUUUUAUCUGCAUUGUUGGCAGAUAAUGAAGCGGAGAGCCGAGUGGAAAAGCCAUUACCUAUGUACGUGCCACGAGACAAGCAAUCUGAGAGUAAACAGGACACUUUCGCUGCAGGGAGGUUAAAAGCGGUGUUACACCACCUUGUUCCGUCGCUUAAAGCUAGUAUCUUAGCUGAGUACUUUUCUGACUUUGGAGAGAUUGAUGAUCUCUAUUGAUCUGCUUUAGUCUUAACAGACUGUAUGUACUCAUCGAUUGAUAGUUGUCCUUUGCUUGAUUUCUUUAGCUGAUCUCUUAUUUGUUUGACAUGACCACGAGAGGGUCUGCCAUAAGUAGAUCGUGAAGUGUUCCAUGCCCUCCACAGAUGUUGAUGCCGUGGAGAUCAUAGGCUGUAGCGACAGGGAUAUGAGCUUGUCUUGUCUUCACCAUGCCGUGUGUGAGGUUGUUGACUUGCAUAGUUGGUAGAGGAGGGAUCAUCACAGCAUAUUUGGAUGUCAUGCUGCACACAUUUAGUAAUUUUCACUUCACUAAUAUGCUAGAGUGGAGGCCACAGAACAGAUUCUGACUAGGGAACUUGAGGCAGUGGGCUUGCGGCUAAAGAAAAAGCCUCCACAGGUUGAGUAAAUUUGUUGAAUUACAGAUGUACCACCCUAUCUAGUACUUCCAAGUCUAAAUUGAUCUUUCUGGUUUGUUUCCAUGUGGCUCUGUAUCGUUUCACAAAUCAAAGAAACAGAUAAUAAUUCUUUUAACUAAUCGACAUGCAAAAUAAGAGAAAAACGACAUUCUUUUUCUUCUUAAAUCUUUUCACAACAUUACUCUUCAUCCUAAAUCUCUUCUCAGUAUCGUGGUAUAGCAAAAAAGAAACAAGAUAAUCACAACAAAGUCUGAUGAAAACUCCAAAGACCUCCAUUCUAUGCUUCGUCUUUUGUUCCUUCAACCCCUCAAUUCAGAACCUGCUAAAAAUCAGAGACACCAAACGUUGAGACUUCAACAUGCAAAAUCAAGAAACGCACCAAGAACCGAAUUUGCGAGGUUUUACGAUGGUUUCGCCAAGGGUCGGCUGCCGUGGUGGCACAUGAGAAUCAAUCUUGGUCUGUACACGAUGAAUACGUAACAAGUUGGAGAAUCGCCAAGACGUGGUGGUAGGUGGUAUCGUCUCCUUCGUCUCUUUCUCUUCUUCUUCUCUUCUCUUCCUUUCUCUUUCCUUCUCUUCUAUUUCUUUCUGCUUUCUGAUGCUUCCCAAAAAAUCAGAAGCUACUUCCAUGGUAGUCUUUAUCCAUGCAGCGACCUUUGACAUUGUGAAUUUGAAUGCAGAGAAACUUAGGAGACAAGAAACAAUACAAUACCGUUUAACUCAAAAAAAAAACCUAUACAAUUCGUUUCAAAAAUACGCAUUACGUUGAGAACAAAUGGGCCUUUUAUUAAUGGGCCCAUAAUCUUUUUUUUUACGCCGCUUUAUUGCUAGGAGGGCUAGGCGUUCGGGUCUUUGGCUCGAGUUCGGGCCGGUUCCUUUCAGAUCUGGAUCUUUCGGGUCCUAAAUAUUUAGAGCCAAUAGGUAUUUAAAAAUUUCUGGUUCGGGUUCGUGUCAGUUCUUUUCAGGUCCGGGUCGGUUCGGAUCUAUAACUAAAAUAUUCAUAAAAUACUCGUAAUUUUCGGCUCCAUAUCGGGUCCCGAUCUGUUUGGAUAUUUAGGAUCUGAAAAGUACAUGACAUACCCAACUCCAUCAAAUUUAGUUGAUAUUUGUCAUAUAUAUCAAUUUUUUUAUAAAAUAACUUAAAUGAAACUAUUAAUAAUUAAAAUAAACAUUUUUAAACUCUAAAUUUUAUAUUUUAAUGCUUCGUAUUACUUAAAAAAUUUUACAAAAUAAUAACAAAUGUUGUUAACAAAAGAUGUUUCAACUAAAUCAUAAAAUAAUAUAUAUAAAAUAGAACUCAAAAACAUCGUAGUUUUAGAUAUACAUGUUUUUAAGUCGGGUACAAAUCGGUUCUUAUCGGACCGGGUCUAUACGGAUCGGUUUUUUCGGAUCCGGAUCUAUUCGGAUCGGUUCUUUUCGUUUUGGUUCUUUCGGGUAAAAAAAAUCUAGACCAAAAAAAUACUUGUAAAUUUUCGGUCUGAUUCUGGAUCAGGUAUUUUUUGGCCGGUUUCCGGUUCGGAUUAAAAUGUCCAUACCUAAUUGCUACUUUUAUCAGCGUCUUCUCUCUCACACAAUAUCACUGUAAGUAGCCGUUCAAAUCUUCAAAUUUAGCUACAGUAGAAUUCACAUUUAUUUUUAUUUUUUGAAUCCCCCGGUAUAUUUAAGAUCUGGAAAAGCACAUAAUAUACAUAAUUCCAUCAAAUUUAGUUGAUAUUUGUCAUAUAUAUCUAAAAUUUUACAAAAUAACUUAAAUUAAACUAUUAAUAAUUAAAAUAAAACAUUUUUCAACUCUAAAUUCUACAUUUUAAAGCUUCAUAUUACUAAAAAAUAUUACAAAAUAGUAACAAAUAUUGUUAACAAAAUAUAUUUCAGCUAAAUCAUAAAAAAAAACAUAAAAUAGAACAAAAAAACAUCAUAGUUUUAGAUAUACAUGUUUUUAAUUUGGGUACAAAUUGGUUCUUAUCAGGUCCGGUCUAUUCAGGUCGAUUCUUUUUGGUUUCUGCUCGGGUUCAUGUAUUUAGGAUCUGAAAAGGACAUAACAUACACUAAUUCAAUCAAAUUUAGUUGAUAUUUGCUAUAUAUAUCUAAAAUUUUACAAAAUAACUUAAAUGAAACUAUUAAUAAGUAAAAUAAAAUAUUUCUAAACUCUAAAUUUUACAUUUUAAAGCUUCACAUUACUUAAACAAAUAUUACAAAAUAAUAACAAAUAUUGUUAAUAGAAGAUAUUUCAACUAAAUCAUAAAAUAAUAUAGAUAAAAGAGAACACAAAAACAUCAUAGUUUUAGAUAUACAUAUUUUUAAUUCGGGUACAAAUUGGUUCUUAUCAGGUCCGGUCUAUUCAGGUCGAUUCUUUUUGGGUUCGGGUCGGGUUCAUGUAUUUAGGAUUUGAAAAGGACAUAACAUACACUAAUUCAAUCAAAUUUAGUUGAUAUUUACCAUAUAUAUCUAAAAUUUUACAAAAUAACAUAAAUGAAACUAUUAUUAAUUAAAAUAAAAUAUUUUUAAACUCUAAAUUUUACAUUUUAAAAUUUCUUAUCACUUAAAAAUAUUACAAAAUAAUAACAAAUAUUGUUAACAAAAGAUAUUUCAACUAAAUCAUAAAAUAAUAUAUAUAAUAGAACACAAAACAUCAUAUUUUUAGAUAUACAUGUUUUUAAUUCGCGUACAAAUCGGUUUUUGUCGGGUUUAUCCAGUUUGGUUCUUUUUGGGUUCGGGUCGGGUUUUAGGAUCUGAAAAGGGCAUAACAUACCUAAUUCCAUAAAAUUUAGUUGAUAUUUGUCAUGUAUAUCUAAAAUUUUACAAAACACUGUAAAUGAAACUAUUAAUAAUUAACAUAAAACAUUUUUAAACUCUAAAUUUUACAUUUUAAAACUUCAUAUUACUUGAAAAAUAUUACAGAAUAAUAACAAAUAUUGUUAACAAAAUAUAUUUCAACUAAAUCAUAAAAUAAUUUAUAUAAAAUAGAACUCAAAAACAUCAUAGUUUUAGAUAUACAUGUUUUUAAGUCGGGCACAAAUCGGUUCUUAUCGGGUCGGGUCUAUUCGGAUCGGUUUUUUUGGGUCCGGAUCUAUCCGGGUCGGUUCUUUUCGUUCUGGUUCUUUCGGGUCAAAAAAUCUAGACCCAAAAAAUACUUGUAAAUUUUCGGUCUCAUUCUGGAUCGGGUAUUUUUCGGUUGGUUCCGUUCGGGUUAAAAUGUGCAGACCUAAUUGCUACUUUUAUCGGCGUCUUCUCUCUCACACAAUAUCACUGUAAGUAGCCGUUCAAAUCUUCCAAUUUAGCUACAAUAUAAUUCACAUUUAUUUUUAACUUUUUGAAUCCCCCAGUAUAUUUAAGAUCUGAAAAAGACAUAAUAUACCUAAUUCCAUCAAAUUUAGUUGAUAUUUGUCAUAUAUAUCUAAAAUUUUACAAAAUAACUUAAAUGAAACUAUUUAUAAGUAAAAUAAAAUAUUUUCAAACUCUAAAUUUAACAUUUUAAAGCUUCAUAUUACUUAAAACAUAUUACAAAAUAAUAACAAAUAUUGUUAACAAAAGAUAUUUCAACUAAAUCAUAAAACAAUAUAUAUAUAAUAGAACACAAAAACAUCAAAGUUUUAGAUAUACAUGUUUUUAAUUCGGGUACAAAUCGGUUCUUAUCGGAACUGGUCUAUUCGGGUCGUUUCUUAUUGGGUUAGAGUCGUGUUCGAGUAUUUAAGAUCUGAAAAGGACAUAACAUACCUAAUUCCAUCAAAAUUAGACAUAACAUACCUAAUUGGGAAAUUGCCAAAAAUACCAUUUUCAAAGUACCACUUUUCAUGUUUACACUAACCAUUUUUUACCCUCAUCUUUGAUGAAGGAUAAAAGACAUUUAUAACCUUUUGAUUAACUUUGACAAAAAAAACAUAUAGUUAACUAAUCUAAACUUCAAACAUCAAUUUUAAACCCUAAAUCAUCAACUCUAAACCCUAAACCAUGAAACAUCAACUCUAAACCCUAAACCCUAAACCCUAAACCUUCAAAUCUAAAAACUAAAACAUCAACUCUAAACCCUAAACGUAAACCCUAAACCCUAAAUCUAAACUUAAAACAUCAACUUUAAGCCCUAAAUCAUCAACUCUAAACCCUAAACCGCGAAACAUCUAACUCUAAACCCUAAACCGCGAAACAUCAACUCUAAACCCUAAACCCUAAACCCUAAACCCUAAACCCUAAACCCUAAACCCUAAAACAUCAACUCUAAACCCUAAACAUAAACCCUAAACCUUAAACCCUAUAUUUUCUGAAAUUCGAACCCUAAACCCUAAAACAUCAACUCUACGGUUUUAUGGUUUAGAGAUUAGGGUUUAGGGUUUAGAGUUGAUGUUUUAGGGUUUAGGGUUAAUUUCUUAGGGUUUAGGGUUUAGAGUUUAGUUUUUAGGGUUUAGGAUUUAGUGUUGAUAGUUUAGGGUUUAGUGUUGAAGUUUAGGGUUUAGGGUUUAGAGUUGAUGUUUUAGGGUUUAGAGUUGAAGGUUUAGGGUUUAGGGUUCGUAUUUAAAAAAAUAGGGUUUAGGAUUGAUGGUUUAGGGUUUAGAGUUGAGUUUUAGGGUUUAGGGUUUGAAUUUAGAAAUAGUAUAAUUCGAAAAAAAAUUAAAAAAAAUAUUUUUUAUUUUUUUAGAUUUUUUAUUUAUUUAAAUAUUUAUUUAUUAGAUUUGCGAAUUACCACUACUGUUCUGAAUUACACCUUCUGCCGUCGCUACCACCGUAGACGCUGCCAAAAUUGAAAUCGGAGCUGUGGUGUGUUGCUGUUGCGGUGACGACGGUGGAGUUGCAAGGGAAGGUUCCACUGGUUUAGGAGAUUGGAGAGGUUUCGGUGACAAAAGACGAUGAAGGGAUAGUGAUAACUGAUAAGCUUUGCUUUUUCUGUCAAUUUCUCCAUUUUUGUCACUAAACCGAGCUUAUCAGAUAGCUUCCGACAACGUGUGUUUGUUUGGUUCGUCGAUUUCCGCUCAUGAAUCGAAAAUUUCCCAGACUGUGAUUGGCUGUCCUGUUUUGUUACCUUGUCUUUUUCAGAAAUAAAUUUUACUGUGGAAUUUCUACUUUUUGUGAACAAAACUGUACAUAUGUAUGCUGCUUGUAACUGAAGAAAGAGGG